rnacentral:misc_RNA from 1 species
CGAGCUGAAUUGCGAGGGCCAGAAUUCUGAUUCCGUUUGGACUUAUGCUGUUUUCGUGCAUUGUUAACAGCAGCAUUGUCACGUGGCUUAGGGCACUCCUUGAGAGAAUGGUUGUAAGAACCACAGUUGAAACACCGGGCAGCCUCAUCUACUAUUUCCAGGCCUCCCUCAACAUUACUUGGACCAUCUGUUGAAGACAACCCUAAUGCAAAUCCACGAUCAUAAAGAGGCACAAAGUCAUCAUCAGGAGGAAUAUAACCAUCAGACUGCAGCUUCUUUGUUGGGUUCUCUAUCCAGAAUGA